rnacentral:rRNA from 1 species
AGGAUGAACGCUAGCGGCAGGCCUAAUACAUGCAAGUCGAGGGGUAUGGAGAGCUUGCUUUCCAGAGACCGGCGCACGGGUGCGUAACGCGUAUGCAACCUACCUUCAUCAGGGGGAUAGCCCGGAGAAAUCCGGAUUAACACCGCAUAAAGACACGGUACGGCAUCGUACGGUGUCCAAACAUUUAUGGGAUGGAGAUGGGCAUGCGUGCCAUUAGCUAGUUGGCGGGUAAGGGCCCACCAAGGCUACGAUGGCUA